rnacentral:tRNA from 1 species
UUAAACUCAUUGGCAGAUAAUUGCAAUAAAUUUAGAAUUUAUCGAUACACCA